GAUGAACGCUGGCGGCGUGCCUAAUACAUGCAAGUCGAGCGAACGGACGAGAAGCUUGCUUCUCUGAUGUUAGCGGCGGACGGGUGAGUAACACGUGGAUAACCUACCUAUAAGACUGGGAUAACUUCGGGAAACCGGAGCUAAUACCGGAUAAUAUUUUGAACCGCAUGGUUCAAAAGUGAAAGACGGUCUUGCUGUCACUUAUAGAUGGAUCCGCGCUGCAUUAGCUAGUUGGUAAGGUAACGGCUUACCAAGGCAACGAUGCAUAGCCGACCUGAGAGGGUGAUCGGCCACACUGGAACUGAGGCACGGUCCAGACUCCUACGGGAGGCAGCAGUAGGGAAUCUUCCGCAAUGGGCGAAAGCCUGAAGGAGCAACGCCGCGUGAGUGAUGAAGGUCUUCGGAUCGUAAAACUCUGUUAUUAGGGAAGAACAUAUGUGUAAGUAACUGUGCACAUCUUGACGGUACCUAAUCAGAAAGCCACGGCUAACUACGUG
rnacentral:rRNA from 1 species